rnacentral:rRNA from 1 species
UACGGGGGGGGCAAGCGUUGUUCGGAAUUACUGGGCGUAAAGGGCUCGUAGGCGGCCGCUUAAGUCAGACGUGAAAUCCCUCGGCUCAACCGGGGCACUGCGUCUGAGACUGAAUGGCUUGAAUCCGGGAGAGGGAUGCGGAAUUCCCGGUGUAGCGGUGAAAUGCGCAGAUAUCGGGAGGAACACCGGUGGCGAAGGCGGUUCUCUGGGCCUUACCUGACGCUGAGGAGCGAAAGCGUGGGGAGCGAACAGG